UACGGAGGGUGCAAGCGUUAUCCGGAUUUACUGGGUUUAAGGGGUGCGUAGGUGGGUCUGUAAGUCAGUGGUGAAAUCUCCGGGCUUAACUCGGAAACUGCCAUUGAUACUAUAGGUCUUGAAUUAUCUGGAGGUGAGCGGAAUAUGUCAUGUAGCGGUGAAAUGCUUAGAUAUGACAUAGAACACCAAUUGCGAAGGCAGCUCACUACGGAUAUAUUGACACUGAGGCACGAAAGCGUGGGGAUCAAACAGG
rnacentral:rRNA from 1 species